rnacentral:rRNA from 1 species
AGCAGCCGCGGUAAUUCCAGCUCCAAUAGCGUAUAUUAAAGUUGUUGCAGUUAAAAAGCUCGUAGUUGAAUUUCGGAAUCAAUGGAUCGGUCAUGCCACUCGGUGUGUACUGGUUUGAUUGGUUCUCACCUUCUAAGGAACCGUGAUGUCAUUAAUUUGGUGUCGCGGGGAAUUAGGACUGUUACCUUGAAAAAAUUAGAGUGUUUAAAGCAAGCUCACGCUUGAAUACAUUAGCAUGGAAUAAUGAAAUAGGACAUUGUAUUCUAUUUUGUUGGUUUCUAGGAUCGAUGUAAUGAUUAAUAGGGAUAGUUGGGGGCAUUAGUAUUCAAUUGUCAGAGGUGAAAUUCUUGGAUUUAUUGAAGACUAACUACUGCGAAAGCAUUUGCCAAGGAUGUUUUCAUUAAUCAAGAACGAAAGUUAGGGGAUCGAAGACGAUCAGAUACCAUCGUAGUCUUAACCAUAAACUAUGCCGACUAGGGAUCGGAUGAUGUUAAUUUUUAUGUACUC